rnacentral:rRNA from 1 species
AAGACCUUGCACUUUUGGAGCGGCCGAUGUCUGAUUAGCUAGUUGGUGGGGUAAAGGCCUACCAAGGCAUCGAUCAGUAGCUGGUCUGAGAGGACGACCAGCCACACUGGGACUGAGACACGGCCCAGACUCCUACGGGAGGCAGCAGUGGGGAAUUUUGGACAAUGGGCGCAAGCCUGAUCCAGCCAUGCCGCGUGAGUGAAGAAGGCCUUCGGGUUGUAAAGCUCUUUCAGUCGGGAAGAAAAGGUUGCGACUAAUAAUCGUGAUCAAUGACGGUACCGAAAGAAGAAGCACCGGCUAACUACGUGCCAGCAGCCGCGGUAAUACGUAGGGUGCGAGCGUUAAUCGGAAUUACUGGGCGUAAAGGGUGCGCAGGCGGUUUUGUAAGUCAGAUGUGAAAUCCCCGGGCUUAACCUGGGAACU